rnacentral:rRNA from 2 species
UUGUUGCCAGCGGUCCGGCCGGGAACUCAAAGGAGACUGCCAGUGAUAAACUGGAGGAAGGUGGGGAUGACGUCAAGUCAUCAUGGCCCUUACGACCAGGGCUACACACGUGCUACAAUGGCGCAUACAAAGAGAAGCGACCUCGCGAGAGCAAGCGGACCUCAUAAAGUGCGUCGUAGUCCGGAUUGGAGUCUGCAACUCGACUCCAUGAAGUCGGAAUCGCUAGUAAUCGUGGAUCAGAAUGCCACGGUGAAUACGUUCCCGGGCCUUGUACACACCGCCCGUCACACCAUGGGAGUGGGUUGCAAAAGAAGUAGGUAGCUUAACCUUCGGGAGGGCGCUUACCACUUUGUGAUUCAUGACUGGGGUGAAGUCGUAACAAGGUAACCGUAGGGGAACCUGCGGUUGGAUCAC